UGUUUUUGUAGAAACUUUUCCACAGUGGUUGCCCCUUUAACUGAUCUGCUUAAGUCCAAAGCUUUAUUUGUGUGGUCCGAGUCUUGUCAAACUGCGUUUGAUGCAGUGAAGGCGUUGCUUACGUCAGCACCAGUCCUGAUGGCUCCCCGGCUAGGAGAACCAUUUAAGAUUAUGGUGGAUGCCAGUAAAGAGGGAGCGGGUGCAGUGUUGGUUCAAGAGGAUGAUGUGGGCAUCGAGCGUCCGGUUUGUUUUUUCUCACGAAAAUUCAAUAGUUAUCAACGGAAUUAUUCUACCAUCGAAAAAGAAGCGCUCGCAUUAAUUUGGGCUCUCCAACACUUUGAGGUGUAUGUGGGAGGAGAUAGUUCACCUUUAACGAUUUAUAGCGAUCAUAAUCCUCUUACCUUUUUGCACUCGCUUAAAAAUCCUAACCAACGGCUUAUGCGCUGGUGCUUGUUUCUCCAACCUUUUCAUUUGGACAUUCGGCACUUAAAAGGCUCUGAGAAUAUAGUGGCCGACGCCCUGUCUAGGGCCCCCUUGUAAAUAUGGAUGCGCUGUAACAUUGCGGGGCAUAAUCAGGUGGAUGGGGAACACCUGAGUCUAAGUGAGCGCUCCUUUAUCAGCGUCCUGCCACUGUUUGGGAGGCUGAUUCUUCCGGCUAAGGGUUGGGACGGAGACCAGCGGCGUGCGAGUUGGCGGGGCGUUCUUGCCUAAUGUUUGAUCACAGUGGGCUUAAAUAAAACUUUUGUAACGUGA